GGAGAAGGGAAACGAGAGUAGGCACGGUCCUUGGGAGGUAUCCACCGUCUCUACAGGUGUGUCUGGCUCGGAGUAAUCGGGGUCGAGUAACAGGGACCGCUUCCAGGCCUCGCUGAAUAUCUUGAGAAGACUUGGCCUGUUGGUGUUUGAAAAGAACUCACGGUGGGGCACAGCCUUGACAGGGCAGCCAGUGGGGGGAUCUGGACUCUGGGCCCCCUUCUUGUGGGCUGUUUCCAGAGAGCUGGACCAGAUACCUUGUAUGUGAGCAGCAGACUGGACAUUACAGAUGGUAUUAGAUAACAAACUCAGGCGGACCUGGUGCAGGUUUUCCAGUUGAGCCACCUGAUCGGGGGUGGUGUGCCUGAAGCAUUGCCUGGCAAAGAAAUGAAGGUAAAAGUCUAUGCCCAUGAUCUUGCUAGAGUUUAUUUUCUCAGUAAUGAGAUGGUUUAGUCCCGCGUUAGAGAAGAUUUGCAACAUAUCACAGAUUGUUAUGUAGGUUGCGGACCAGGUCACGGGGGCAUGCAGCACGUAGAAGCAGAGGGUCGCAUACUCACUAAAAAAAGAAUCAGGGGGAUUGUGUUCCAGCACAGCUUCGAAAAGCAUGUUACAUAUCUUGCACUUGGAAGUGGGCAACAACGUGCUUGAGAUAUGAGUGAGUGUGGGAUCAUGAAAGCCUGUUUCUGGUGUGGCAGGUAGGUAGGAUUUAGAAAGUAACAUCUGCAUGAUUGAAUCGUGGGAGGUGACUGUCUCUAGAGACCAUGGUACGUACAUCUUCACCACUCGAUGGCGGCCAGUGUAUUUGAGAGGAAGGAUAGCUGUGUUAAAUACCUCCUGAGUCAUGGGGGGCAAUGGUGAUAGCUUUGCAUAUCCUCAGCUUUUAGAUUUUGAGGACAUAUUUACCGAGGACAUAGAUUCAUAUUUUUCCACAACCUAUGUAAAGUUUCACUUUUUGAACUACUGUAUCUUUUUGACCUGGUUUAUUAGUCAUAGGCACACUGAAAAGGGAUGUGUCCAUGGUCUUAUAUUUGACAGAAAGCUGUCAGCGGUCAGGGAUACCAUAUUGACCCUGGUGGACACUGAUCGGCUCAUAGACGGACAUGGCUAACCAGAAGAAGCUGAUAGACGAGCUCUGUGGGAUUGUUACUUCUUUUCUAUGUCCCCAGGGGAUUGUGCCAGAGAUUGAAAAAUGUUCUACAAAGCUGCCUCAUUUUUCUAAAGGUGGAACAAAGCCUGUGUGCACAGUGAGGCUCCAGCAUGGCCACACUUAUCACAUUGAGUUUGUGUACAAGUUUUGGCAGCACAUUUUGGGCCAGCUUCGCCUGCCCCUACAGCCUUGCUUUAUUUUGACAAAUAACGGCUUGGCCACCACUUUGAAAUGUUUUAUGAGCCCGCCAAGGGAUAUAGACUUUCAGUAUGGCAACAGGGUCAAUAUGGCCUGCGAUGUGAAUUUGGAGAAAAACUCUUGUGUUAUCAUAGAGGACGAGGAUUUCCUGAGGUUCAAGAGCUACCAUGUGUUUCCCAAGGACGUACCAAUCUAUAACUCUAUGGUGGUAUGUAGAACCUACAUCACUGAUAUGAGGAACGCAGUACAAUUUUUUGUGGUCAAGCCUGGAAACAGGAGAAAGAUUGUGCAUAUGUUGGAAAGUAUUGAGGAGAUGCCUGAAACCCCACAACAGUUGUAUUUUUGUGGUGGACGUGGGUAUAAGAUGAUAGGGGCUGGGCUCUCCCUCUUCUUUUUUGCAGCCAUAGUGGCGCUGGCCAGUAAACUAGUAUGGUGAUGGGGGCCUUGGACUAUCUGCGCUUGAUGAAUAUUUCAGUGGAUGAGUUUAGAAGCUUUUGUAUCUAUGGCCACCUCAGUGGGCAGCGUGGAUGGGGUGAGCUGUUGUUGAGCAAUCUUUCAUUUAAAAGAGCAGUGUGCCAUAUACUGAAAAUACAGUGUGAGACUAAGAAGAGGUGGACAAACAAGGUAUUGGUGGCGAAUAGUGCGUUGUCCCUACUGACCCUCUUCAGGAUGGUUCUUCAUGAAUGUGUUUUUUCACACAAAUAUUUUAUACCUGACAGGAUCGAGGACAUGUGUUUCCCGCUGACCAAAAUACUCACUGUGCCCUUCCUCAAGGCCCUAGAUCUGUAUCUCUCCCAGUUUUCCAUCUCAUGCAAGUUUCCCAUAAUUAAAAUAUCCACUGUGAAUCCUACCCUUCUGGCGUUUACCAAGAAGAAAUAUCUGGCUAGUGUUGUGUCUGAUCAACCCAUCGAGGUCCCUGCUCCAUCUGCCCGGCCUGAUCCUGUGAGGUUUACUGCUGCGGUGCCCUUAGCUUCUGAUGAGCAGUCUCUGGUGAAAGCUUUACAUUCCAGUACCGGGACAGUCCAGUGUGGAAAUCCAUUUUAUUAUAUGAUGACCAGACUUUGCUUGUAUGGACUAAUGCAUGGUAGGGGGGGAAUUGUGCCAGUUUCCAGCUCUAGUAAGCAGAGUGUAUAUGAUGUGGCUAUAAGAUUUAUAGGUUCUAGGAUAUUGAGCCCGAUAGUGAGGCUGCCAAUUUUAUCCAGGGCUUUGGCAGACCUGGCGCUGACGGGGCACGGUCAUCAGAUAACAGUGUGUAAUGAAUGUGGCCACUGUUUAAAUUUGGGCAGGGAUAAAUUUCUUGCAGUAAAUUUUUCCCCCACAAGUAUGUUUUAUUGCAGAGAUCAAAAGGAGAAACAGUUUAACAUAUGUGCUACAACUGGGAGGAUCUAUUGUUCAUAUUGUGGGGCGACAGAGUUUACAGUGUAUGACAUGGUGGGAAGGUAUGCUACGGGGGAGCCUUUUAUUAGGGCGGUUUCCUCAGCUAACUCCCUUAGUAUUUUAGAUAAUAGCGAACAGGAGUGUGAUAUACUGAUCCCUUGUUUUGGUAAAUCUAGGUCUUGCAGUAUUAAGCUGAGGGCGACAUUUAGGGAGCUACUUUAUUUGACAGCGUCUGUUGAUAAUUUUAUUUGUCAAAAGUGUUCCAAUAAGGGUGAUGAAUAAAGACAGGGU
rnacentral:tmRNA from 1 species